UUCUGCAGUUCCAGGGCUUAGUAUGUAAAGAUGCCACGCAAUUUUAAAGGAUUGAUGGGUUCCUGCAUUAUCAUCCCUUGCAGUUUUGACUAUUAUCAGUGCCUCACAAACCAGAUCAUGUGGUUUGGUACCAGAAAGUGAGAGAAUUAUGAUAGCUGAAGACAUAUGUGCCAGUGGAAUACAUUGUUUAUUGCACUUGUCCCACUGAGCAACUCACUCUGAGGUUCAACAUCCCAACACAAAGCACCUGCCUUACUCACAGCUUCACAUCUGAUAGCAUAUCCAGAACCACUGUGACGACCACCAAACUGUGAAGUGCUCCAUCUGGCACCCUGGCAGUCGGCAGGAACACAGUGCAUGAGGAAAACUGCUCACUGGAGACUGAUGACAUCAAGCCUUUUGACAAUGGACCUUUCCACGCAGAGAAAGCUUCCCUGGAAAAACCAGUGAUGACCCCAGGUCCUGCAGAAGUCAACACUGGUUGGACCAUAAAUGUCUCGUGCUCUGCGACGCACACGCGUCCCUCACAUCCCCCAGCGUUCUCAUGGAGUGUCCCUAACCUCACCUGUGAAAUCAAGAACACCUGGACCACACAAGGCAUCUGGCAGACAACCAGCCCACCCUGAUCACUUCCAUGGCUGUUAUAAUAAAUUAUAAUAUUGUUUUUCACAUGCUUUUAGAAGUGAACGAUGGGAGCCGCUUUGUUUUAGUUCUUCUUCUUCUUUUUUUUCUGUUCAAGCCACACGUGAUUGGUCAACUACAUGAUGUGUGAUGUAUCCGCACUGAGUAGGAAGGGGAGGGGAGGGGGUUAGAGAGGCAGCACCAUAGACUGCAUAAGACAGCACGCACCACAGAGAGAGGGAGAGAAACCGGAGGGAAGGAGACGCAAGAGAAAGAGAGGGAGAGAGAGAGAGAGAGAGAGAGAGAGAGAGAGAGAGAGAGAGAGAGAGAGAGAGAGAGAGAGAGCAGCCCCUACAGAGACAACAGGCUGGAAAGGUGAGAAAAUAAGUGACCGCAGGAAACGCCGUAAAAUUUGGAUGCAUUUCAAUUACAUUGAUAAUACAAAGGCAGAGUGUGCAAGAUUGUGCUAGGUUAAAAUCUCAUAUCGAGCAGGCUCUACAAAUAACCUGCACAGCAUGUACAA